UACGUAGGGUGCAAGCGUUAAUCGGAAUUACUGGGCGUAAAGCGUGCGCAGGCGGUGAUGUAAGACAGUUGUGAAAUCCCCGGGCUCAACCUGGGAACUGCAUCUGUGACUGCAUCGCUGGAGUGGCGGCAGAGGGGGAUGGAAUUCCGCGUGUAAGCAGUGAAAUGCGUAGAUAUGCGGAGGAACACCGAUGGCGAAGGCAGCCCCCUGGGAUAACACUGACGCUCAUGCACGAAAGCGUGGGGAGCAAACAGG
rnacentral:rRNA from 1 species